UAGGGAAUCUUCGGCAAUGGACGAAAGUCUGACCGAGCAACGCCGCGUGAGUGAAGAAGGUUUUCGGAUCGUAAAACUCUGUUGUUAGAGAAGAACAAGGACGUCAGUAACUGAACGUCCCCUGACGGUAUCUAACCAGAAAGCCACGGCUAACUACGUGCCAGCAGCCGCGGUAAUACGUAGGUGGCAAGCGUUGUCCGGAUUUAUUGGGCGUAAAGCGAGCGCGGGCGGUUUCUUAAGUCUGAUGUGAAAGCCCCCGGCUCAACCGGGGAGGGUCAUUGGAAACUGGGGGACUUGAGUGCAGAAGAGGAAAGUGGAAUUCCAUGUGUAGCGGUGAGAUGGGUAGAUAUAUGAAGGAACGCCAGUAGCGAGGUCGGCUCUCUGGUCUGUAGCUGACGCUGAGGAUCGAGAGCGUGGGGAGCAAACAGG
rnacentral:rRNA from 1 species